ensembl:lncRNA SOX2-OT SOX2 overlapping transcript
GGGGACGCGGAGGAGAAGGAAAGUCGCUCAAGCAGUGGACAGAGCGGAGAAAGCGACUUCGGGUUGGUUGAAGGGUCUGCUGGAGUUUGCUGGAGGUGCACUCCAGACUCUGUUUGCCUGCCUAUCACCAACAGAGGCUGCAGAACAGCAAAGAUUGCUGUCUGUAACUUCCUCUGGAAGCUUCAUCCCAGAGGGGCACCUGCCAGAUGCCAGCCGGAGCUCUCCUCUAUGAGUGAAUGAAGGAGGGAAGAAAGGAGAGACAGAGAAAAUAUGGAUUUCCUCAUGGUUGUGAUUCCUCUUCACUCUUUUGAAUUUGGAAGGAUGGCAUACACAUCUGAAAAAUACCACUACUUCCUUCAUUGGACUGCAAGGUAUUUCUGUUUGGAAAAGUAAUGGAGUCCAGUCAACUUCAUUGAUCGCCAAGGACUGUCAAAAUUAUAAAACUUGCUGUGGAGCUCUGACAUGCCAGAAGCCGCUAGAAAAAGAAGUUUGACAUUCAGAAACUUAUCAAGAGGUUCUACUCUUUGGAUAGAGACCAAAAUCAUACUUUGAAGGGAUUGCAGUGGCAAAGCUAGGCUAGGUCUUGGAGGCUGGUGUAAGGCGAUGUGGGUGAAGGCAGGAGGCUGAUGGAAAGACUGGGGGGAAGAAAAGCCGAAAUGGAUUCACGGUGCCUUGGAUGAAGGACGAGAGGGGAACUGCAAGCUCCUUCAACUGGUUCUGUCCGGUGAGAAGUGAUCAAGCUUGGGCUGACAAGAGGCUCAGGGAGCCCUCACGUUCUUUCGCUUUUUUACCUGCCAAUCAAACUGCUACAAGACAACACCCUGAUCUGGCAUGGACAUCGCGGGUCCAAGCCUGUAGCCCCAAAUCGGAUAAUCUCUGCAGCUGAUAACAAGCAAAAGAGAAGCCAGGCAACAGCCAUAUUAAAGAAGAAAACAAUCAACUCUGAGAUCCAACUUAGAAAUAAUGUUUCAUUCAAGAUAAGGCUCGUGGCUUAGGAGAUUGUGACCUGGCUUGCAUCAUUCUAAGACUUCUAUCGUCUGUUUUCAAAACCCAAGGAGGACCUCCUUUUCUGUGUGAUAGUUCCUCAUGCUUUGCCAGCCACUGGGUCUUUAAGGAAGCUUGCCAAGAGUUCCCGGCUGGGAAGGACAGUUCGAGUUCAUCAUAGACAAUGAGCUGGCACCACAGUUUAAGUGACUCACCAACCUGGUUGCCCACUUCAAAAUGUCAAGAACCACACUAUCUAAUUGAAAGAACUGUGUUUUAGCAAAGUGUAAUUGGAUCGCCUGGCAAGAUCAUCUCAAACUAUGUCUCUGACCUUGCCUUUCAGUGGCUAUUUUGAGCACAAGAGGAGAAAGGAAAUGAUUCCUGAAUUAUAUCUUGUUUUUAAAAAUUAAGAUUAAUUAAUACUUGGUUUUAUGUUCAUUCCAUUGUAGGAACUUAGUGAUUAUUACAAAACAGUCAAAAUAGGUCAUAGCAAAAUGAACGUUUAAGAUUAGGUUAAAACAUUCCUCUGAAAUUUUAGUAUUCACUUUUGAAGUGUCAAUUACUAUAUUUCUGUAAUUUCUCAUUUUUUUCUUGGCUUAGAGUCAAGAUGAAAAAUGAUAUUUGAAUCAAAGACAUUGUUUUGUUAUAUAGCCACUCCUUUCUAAAAUGCAAAUCCACCCUCCCCUCACCAAUGCUUUAUUCUUUGUGCGCGCACACACACACACACACACACACACACACACACACACACACAGACAUACACAGAACCAGCACCCAAAUGGUAGAGGAGGUCCUUCCAAGACUUCUAGGACCUGGAUCAUGUAAGCAGUAGAUGAGAAAAUGAAGUAAGAGAUAUAGAGUAAUAACAAUAAAAGUCAAUGAUUUCAUUUUACAAAAAAGUCAUUGUGUAGUACUCAGAUAUUUUUAAGAGCAAGUAUUAUUAUGACUAAAGUAUAUUAUACUUCUAAAUUAUUAUGAUUCUCAUCUAAUUUCAAGCCACACAUAGGCGCCAUUUGAAAGCAUUUUGUGUUACAACCUAUCAACAAAAAUCAACUAAUAGUUUUAUAACGUGCAUAGGUUUACCCCAUGGGGAAUUAAAAUUUUUAUCUGCAAGUAUUUCUGUUGUUGUGAGACUUUAGGACAAGACAACAUUUGGUGUUAACAUAGAAGAAUAUUCUAUGGCUUUUUUAGCUUUAAAGUUCAUUACUCUAAAAUAAAGUACACGUGGUAUUUUUUUCUUCCUAGUGUUCUCUUAUUAUAUGUAGAGUAUUUUCGGUUGUUGUUUUUAACGUAUACAUUAUUUUUAUUAAGUCAUUUCAUAAAAGAUAAGAUAUAUACUAAUAGACCCUUGGUUUUCUCCUAAUUUAAUUAUUUCAAGUCAAGCAAAAUUGGGCAAUUUUCUUUCAGGAAAAAAAAAAUAUUGAGCAUGAUUUUGAGGUAAAACUGAUUAUUUACAGCAUCUUUUCUCUAAUAGGCUAACAUUUAUGAUGGAUCUUAUUUCAAAGUUGAUUAUUCUCAAAGAAAAGUGGAGAUAUUAGAAUUUCCGAGUAAAUUGCAUUGUUUUAAAAAGUACUUUAAUGCAUUGUUCACAUUGUUGCCAGCUAUUGACCAAAAAAGAGAAGAAGAAAAAAGAAAUAAAAAAAGCAGUAUCUGCUCCAAACGUCAAGUUUUGCAGUUUGAAAGACUUGUACAUUAUAAUUGUUUUUUUCUUUUUUGGAAAGCAGUAGUAAUUAAUACCAAAGGCAUAGACAAUUUAGGGCCAUAACCUCCCUUCCCCCCUCUCCACCUUUUUUUUUUUUUUUUUUUUUUUUUAACUUUAACCAUGAUAGGCAUCUCUGCAAGGUAGGUUUUAACAUAUUUUUUUCCUAAUUUUUUUCCCUCCAUUCAGUAAGAAGGAUAAGCUUUUAGAGUACCCAGUCACCGUGGUAACUGCCAAAAAAAUUCUCCUGAAGUUUGAAGAGGUCAGCUAGCAGGGUCAACAACCCUGGCCUCUCUCUGAGCUCGGUCUAGCAUGCCCCAGCCUGCGGUUGGAGUGUCAGGCCAGAUCUGACCCUGGGAGGUGGACCAUUCUGGCUCUGAUAUAAAUUUUUCGAGUCAGUUCAUGGCCUGGACUCUCCAGGUGGCCUCCAAAAUCGAUUUUGACCCCCUGACCCUGUCUCACGGAGGCAUAGCAUCCACCCUAAGUAAGGAUUUAGCCAGGAAUGACAGCUUUCCACUGAGUGUUAUUGGGGACAGUAUAAACAGUUUGGAAAGCAAGUAAGGAGGUGUGAGGGCUAGCAAUCAUUAAAAGCACAUUAAAAAACAAUUUUUAAAAAUCUUUAUUAGAGAAAGUUGUAAAUGCAUAUCUGUUACAGAAUUCCUGUGAUUUGUAGAGUUUUCUAGUCAGUUUUGAAUAUAAAUAGGUCACAUAUCUUUAUCUUUUUGCAUACUUUGUUACAAAUAUGCAAAUAAGAUAGGCAUACUUGCUACAAAAUAGGUACAGCAGGAAUGUAAUAUGUUCAGAAAAGGCAAACUGGUUAUUAAAACACAUUAACAGGUAAGGAGUUUCUAAUAUUUUAAAUACUAAAAUUUUACAUGUGUAUUUUGAAGUUUUUAAAAUGGAAAAAUAAAGAACCUUUAAAAAACCCAACAGUGUGGAAUAAAGAUAAACUUGUUGCACUCAAGGUACAUUUCUACUUUGUAAAGCAAGAAGCCAAUACACUCAGUUGGAUAAAAAUGAGAGAAAAAUUGUAAAUAUAGAGAGUUACAGCUUAUAGAGCUGAAGAGGAAUAAAACAAAAAAAAGUGUCUCUGAAUAACUUUAUGUAUUUUCAACAGUUUAAGAUAUCAGAAACUUGGAAAAUAAAUAUGAUAUAUAUAUAAAUCAUCAGUGAUUAUUUCCUUUUCAUUCCCCCCCGCCCCCAGGAUGCCACCGUGAGUGUUUGAUUUUCUCUAGGAAAGUAGAAUUCUCUUUGAGAGUUCUAGCCUGUGAACUCAGUAUGUAAAUGUGGCCAUCAAGAAGACAGAACUGCCAAGAGGAAAGAUUAUGAAUGUUUUUCUUCCUUAAAACCAUUCACAGUGUUUCUUCUUCCAGUGCUUUACUCAGACUUCUCCCCUUUUCCCAGCUCUGUUGAAAAUGGCUUCAAAAGCAACACUGCAGUGGCUAAACCAAUUGUACUGUGAAGUUGUUGAGAUGCCAUUUCAUCUGAAUCCUUCGUAAAAAUUAGAUUUUUAAGUAGGGGUGAAUAUCCUUUUGGGAGAGGGAAUGGGAGGGUAGAAGAAGGGGGGAAAGGACAGAGCA